AUUCGUACAACCGUUAGGUGAAUAAAACUGUAAUACUCUGUAGCAACUGGUUGGAAGACAGUAAAAAUUGUUAUUAGAAGAAGAUAGUUAUGUGUAUAAGUGAAUUCUAUGGGUUCAUGAGAGAAAAGUACUUAUACUACAUAACUGCAAACCCGUUCAUGUAUACAUAUUCAAAUAAAUGUCAGUUCACACACGAGCUUUUUUGUCGUCCUAACCGAUUUUUGGUGGGUGAAGAACGACGAGGAAUUGUCGCGUAGUCGAACCGCACAAACACUUGCAAAAAUUGUAUGGAAAGGAAAACAGAAAAACUCGACUAGAGUUGCUAGACUCGUGUCGCUCGUGUGACGCACUGAGUAUUGCGGACAAUUUUAACAGUGGCGAGUAAACAGAGCUGAACAUUGAAUGAAAGUUAUGCUCACAAAUAUGCAGGGCUGUUAUUGACGUAUGUUAGCCCUUUGGAUUACAUUUUUAUACGUUUGCAAUCACAUCUAUUAAUACGAAUAUAUUUUUUUACAUACAUAUUAAUGAAUACAUGCUUAACUGAUAAAAUUAUAAUAUUUAUAGUCAAUGUGCAAUUAAGGUCUAGAUUAAUUAUUUCCUAUGUUUGAUAAUACUAUAUAAUAUACUUUCAUAUGUACUUAAAAGUAUAUAUAUGUUAUGUGUAUUAUAAUAGCCGUGUUUAUUUGACCAUCACAAGCUAAUAGCUAAAUCAUGGACAAAUAAGACGCACUUAUAGCACGUUCACAUAUAAGCAGAUUAUGGUUAACAAAAAUUAACCUCGAAGCUAACCUUGUUGCGUUCACAUAUAGCAAAGAUAACCCAGUUAAAUAAGAGAAAUUGACAGCUGUA